UGCAGAGAAGUCAGCCCAUCACUGAGUUAAUAAACUCUGUGUUGCUUGAACAGUUUUCACUGCGCUUCUAAAUUUCUUUGUGUAUUUUCAUUUAGGAAACAAAAUGAUAUCAUUUCAGAUGGCAGCCAACACUAAUUUUAAUAUGAAUAUACUGGAAAUUAGACACCAAAUGAGAAUUCAAGCAAUAUUUUCAAUCCCAGAUGUCAGUUAGUAGAGAAACGGCAGGGCCAAGUAGAGAGGUGGUGUAGGCAGAUGGGAGUGAAGCUUUAGUGGGAUAUCUGCAGCUUUCCCAGCUGCAGGUAUCCCACUAUCCUAGAGAAAGUUAGUGGGACAAUGUAUCAGUCAAGUAUUAUAAUAUCGAUUCUAAAUAUAAUGCAUUAAUUUCGGAUGAUCCCAAGCACUGCAAAUCUGGGUGGAACCCUGAAUGGCUUCAAAUGCCACAAUUUUAUCAGGAAUGUAAGCUACUGUUUGCUUUAAGCUUUUAAGUCUCAGCAUAUUUUUUUGAUCAGUGGCAUUACUUAUUUCAGGAAUAUUUUGUCAUGCGCGCAGGCAGCACAAGCCAACAGAAAAAAAGGUCCUACCAAAGUACUUUUAUUGAAGUUGGGGUUCUUGUGUUUCACAAAGAUUAUUUGGAGCGCCACAUCACCUCUGAGCCUCAUAAACAAUAUUUGGAAAAGCAGGCAUCACUUGCAUCUGGUAUGUUCUGAUUUUUCUUUAUCUUAUGCAAUAACACAUUGGCAAUCUAUAACCAAAUUAGUUAUCCUUAUAACAAGGUGUCCUUUCCUCAGUGUAUAGGCUACUCAGUGGUGCAAGCUUUUGACUCCAGCAUCAUCGUUGAGCACAAAGCUGUUGUUGGAGGAUUUAAGUGCCUUUACUGGCUUGUGAAAAAUGAAAUAGCACAUCACACCAACUACCCAAAAAAAGUCUGGCUGAGCGUUUAGGAUGAGAUUAUUUUACCAAACUGAAGGUCAGAGAAACAAUUACAGAUCCCACAGAAUAGUAGAUGAGAUGCAGGAAAUCCUGUUAAGAGUAAUUGAGGAGCCUCUUCUGGAGGAUAUGGAGGAUAAGUCAUCUCAAGCCAUUAGCCUGGAAAUAGAUGAAAUCACGGAUGUCUCCAUAAGCCUUCAGCUCAACAUACAUAUCCGGUAUGAAUGUGGGAGCUGUUGAAAGGUGAAUUUAAAAAAAAUUCAUAUGCCAAUUUGGAAUCAUCUGCGAAUAAUCAGCACUUUAUUUCAGAUACCUGGACAAAGAGGGAUGAGUGUUUAACCAGUUCCUUGACAUGGUAUCCCUGGAAAAUUGUAAAGCUGACACAGUUGUUGCUGCUGCAAAGGACGUCAUCCAGAAAAAGAAGCUCCCAACAGACAGAUGGUCUUAGGACCGAUGGUCCAGCAGUAAUGACAGGUUUAUGAAGAACUGGAUGAGCAACUGUUCCCAACAAAAGCAAGAUGCCCCUUCACGCCGUCGAUCUUGACAGCAAGUACAAGCUGAAUAGCUUCCCAUACCUGGGAAAAGAUGACAGCAAGCCAGCCAUGCAACGCCUUGGGGAGAAUGCGGUGCUGUAGCUGGUGGAGUCCUUUGUUGCCUGGUAGUCACCAUCAACAGGAACAAGCAGGAGCUCCCACCUUCUGUGCGAGGGAGAGCACAGCUGUUCAGCACCAAGAUGGCCCGUUGCUGCAUUUUACAAUGUGCUGGAUCUUGCUGCCAUCAAUGCCUGGGUGCUGUACUGGAGCUGUAUGAACGACAACAUUCCCAGAAGGGACUUCAUGCUCCAGCUGGCCCAGGAGCUGUACAUUGAGUGGAUGGCAUCAAAAGAGCUACCACGCGUGGACGUGCCCUUCACAGAUGCAGAAGAGCGCAGGAGAAUGACCUGUGUGCACUGCAAACAGAAUAAAACAUUCCGUAAAUGCUGUUUGUGGGAAACGCACAGCCAAGGUGCUCAAUGUCUGAGCAAUAUGUAGCAGAAAUAAUCACAAAAUGAACGACAAUUAACAUUUGGCUAAUUAGAUUUUAUUUGUUUAUGUAAUAAUUGAGUUUAGUAGUUUGGGGAUUCAUGUUUUGUAAUUGAUUAGUGGGUUAAUUUGAGGGUAACUUUGACAGAGGUGUGUUCCCUUCAUGAAAGGUGCCCGGCUCCCUUGUUAUGUGUUUUUUGACCUGCAGAGAUAGUUUUCUAUUGCGCUUUAUUCUAUGCAAUCUUGUCACAUUCAGCCAUUCACACACAUUCAUAUGCUGAUGGCAUGGCAUACACAGAGUUUGCUAUGCAAGGUGCUUGCUCAUCAGGAGGAGUUUCUAAUCAUUCACACACACACAGCCUCAGGGAACAAUUUGGGUUUCAGUAUCUUGCCUAAGGACACUUCAACUGUAGGAGCCUGGGAUCGAACUGCCGAUCUUCCAAUUAGUAGACGAUCUGCUCUACCUCCUGAGCCACAGCCAUCCCUGAGUUUGCAUAACUGUUUACAACGGGUAGGCAAAUUCAUUAAAAUAUGCAAUAAUUAAGAUCAGUGCAUAUGAUGGAAUAGUGGCAUUAGAAUGUGCCUGAGGCCACCAAAUUUGGGCUUUUUUUCCUCCAGGGGAACAUGCCCCCAGACCGCCUAGCUAGCCACUUUUUCCCACUGGCAGGUUACUCUGUAUCUUUGUGGAAAGCCCUGCUAGUAACCGCAGAGCUGUUACAAUUUUUAAAUUACUGUAUUUAGUUAAUUUAACUAAAUAAAGUAAUCUGUAUUUAGUUGAUUUUAGUGUUGCCGAUUCUGAGUCGUGUGAAGUCAAUUGUCUCUUGACGCUGCAAUUUGAUGUCAUGGCCGUUCAAAUACAGUAAGUUGUUUGACUCUCAAAAGUCAGGACUUGUAAUAUAAUAAUAUCAAGUAAGUGCAGCUAUUUUGGUAGUCAUACUGUUGCACGUCAUGUUGUUAGCUUGUUUGCUUAGCUACCGUUUGCUAUCGUUAUCAAGUGUGCCUGUAGCAAGCUAAGAACAUGAUGUUAGCUAACAUCUAACUAACUAACUAUACUAGCAAACACUUGUUACAAAUGGGUGAAUUGUGUUAAGAAAGACAGUGUAACAUUAGGUAGCGAAAGGAUUUUAUUAAAAGUCUUAAGUAAUGUC